UACGUAGGGGGCAAGCGUUGUCCGGAAUCAUUGGGCGUAAAGCGCGUGUAGGCGGGUCGGUAAGUCUGCUCUGAAAGUCCAAGGCUCAACCUUGGGAUGCGGGUGGAUACUGCCGACCUAGAGUCCGGAAGAGGCGAGUGGAAUUCCUGGUGUAGCGGUGAAAUGCGCAGAUAUCAGGAGGAACACCGGUGGCGAAGGCGGGUCUCUGGGCCGAUACUGACGCUGAGGAGCGAAAGCGUGGGGAGCGAACAGG
rnacentral:rRNA from 1 species